rnacentral:lncRNA from 1 species
CUGAUUGUGAGAUGUAGGAGGCGAAGGGCGGAUCUAAUGCAGGUAAAAACAAAGAUGGCAGACAAUGCAAGUUCACUCACAGCCUGUGGGGAAGAGGACACGUGUUUGACCGAGGAACACGGGAAUGGACUCAGGAAAUCGUGAACUGCGUCAUGUGUGUUCGAACUCCAUCUGUUCAGCUGACUGCUGCACUGCUGCCGCUGCUGCUGCACAAUUCUUCACCCAUGGCUUCACACAGAUCAAAUUUAACAUGAUUUUCAUAUUGUCUGAUUUCUAUCUCUUUGAGGAGUGGAACGAAUACACGUCGACACAAGCCAGUUCAUCUGUUUGAACGAUCUACGGCGGCUGCCUAGAACAUAUUGCUCAAUGCAUGCUAAAACUGGCUUCGAGAUUAUGAUUAAAAUCCAAUAUUGUGCAUGUUUCCCAUGUUAAAUUUGCAGAAUAACAAUUUUAGAUCUUGAAUUGGCAGCAGAUAAUACAAAUGCAGCCUGUGGGGAAAUAGAGCCAUUUGCUCAGGAAUAGUGCAGGCAGCUCCAGGGUAUGGAACAAAUAUGUGUUUGAAGCUUUUAUAUUUCUGCGCAUGGGUUUGAACAGUAGUGUUACGGGCUAUGAGGAUGCACCGGAGUUCAAACCUUCAAGGUGAAAGCGGGUUUCCGCUCCAAAGUAAAGGCAAAACUGUUCAAACCUAGCAAGGAGGC